UCAUGCUCACCUAAAAAUAAAUGUCUUACAACCUAAAAAUUGAUUUCUAUAACGCUUCGAAAAUUUAUGACUUUUACAUCCCUAAAACAAUUUCUAAUGCCUCAUAAAUCGAUUUUUAGCUACCAAAUAGCCUAAUCAGUUCUAAUACCUUAUAAAUUAAUCUCCACAUAACAACCACACCCUAGUAUUUUCAUAUUUUCAGCGCCUGACUAACCUCACUCAUAUGACUGAACCUAACAAAUACAUUGUUGUUGUUGAAAUUCAAGUACUUGCUUUCCUAUUAUAGU
rnacentral:lncRNA from 1 species